GAUGAAAGAACGUAGCGAAAUGCGAUAAGUAGUGUGAAUUGCAGAAUUCAGUGAAUCAUCGAAUCUUUGAACGCACAUUGCGCCCCUUGGUAUUCCAUGGGGCAUGCCUGUUCGAGCGUCAUUUGUACCUUCAAGCUUUGCUUGGUGUUGGGUGUUUGUCCUGAGGGACUCGCCUUAAAGUAAUUGGCAGCCAGUGUUUGGUUUUGAAGCGCAGCACAAGUCGCGAUUCAAGGCUAUACACCAGCUUCCACAAGCCUUUUUCACUUUUGACCUCGGAUCAGGUAGGGAUACCCGCUGAACUUAAGCAUAUCAAUAAGCGGAGGA
rnacentral:misc_RNA from 1 species